rnacentral:tRNA from 1 species
GUGGGUAUAGCUUAGUGGCAGAGCGCAUGCUUAGCAUGCACGAGGUCCUGUGUUCAAUCCCCAGUACCUCCU